rnacentral:rRNA from 1 species
AUGAACGCUAGCUACAGGCUUAACACAUGCAAGUCGAGGGGCAGCAUGAAUCAAGCUUGCUUGAUUGAUGGCGACCGGCGCACGGGUGCGUAACACGUAUCCAAUCUACCCAUGGCUCAGGGAUAGACCUUUCGAAAGAAAGAUUAAUACCUGAUGGUUUCAUGAGCCCGCAUGGACUUAUGAAUAAAGAUUUAUCGGCGAUGGAUGAGGAUGCGUCCGAUUAGAUAGUAGGCGGGUAACGGCCCACCUAGUCGACGAUCGGUAGGGGCUCUGAGAGGAGGAUCCCCCACAUUGGAACUGAGACACGGUCCAAACUCCUACGGGAGGCAGCAGUGAGGAAUAUUGGUCAAUGGGCGAGAGCCUGAACCAGCCAAGUAGCGUGAAGGGAUGACUGCCCUAUGGGUUGUAAACCUCUUUUGUUUGGGAAUAAAGUGAGCCACGUGUGGCUUUUUGUAUGUACCUUACGAAUAAGCAUCGGCUAAUUCCGUGCCAGCAGCGGC